AGUACGGCGAGUGAAGAGGGAAGAGCCCAAGAUUGAAAGCUGGCGCCUUCGGCGUCCGCAUUGUAAUCUCAAGAAGUGUUUUCCGCUUCGGACCAUGCCUAAGUCCCUUGGAAAAGGGCAUCAUAGAGGGUGAUAAUCCCGUACAUGGCAUGGAGCGCCCGAAGCUUUGUGAUACGCUUUCUAAGAGUCGAGUUGUUUGGGAAUGCAGCUCAAAAUGGGUGGUAAAUGCCAUCUAAGGCUAAAUAUUGGGGAGAGACCGAUAGCGAACAAGUACAGUGAUGGAAAGAUGAAAAGAACUUUGAAAAGAGAGUUAAACAGUACGUGAAAUUGCCAAAAGGGAAGGGUAGGAGGUCAGAGAUGCGUCGCAGGAUUCAGCCUUGCUUUUGCUUGGUGUUUUUCCUGCGUUGCAGGCCAACGUCGGUUUUGGGCACUGGAGAAGGGUAGGAGGAACGUGGCACCUCUCGGGGUGUGUUAUAGCCUCCUACUGGAUACAGCGACCGAGACCGAGGAACGCAGCGUACUCGUAAGAGCGGGCCUUUUGGCACCUUUACGCUUAGGGCGUCGGCAUAAUGGCCCUCUACCACCCGUCUUGAA
rnacentral:rRNA from 1 species